AGUGAACGCUGGCGGUAGGCCUAACACAUGCAAGUCGAACGGCAGCACAGUAAGAGCUUGCUCUUACGGGUGGCGAGUGGCGGACGGGUGAGGAAUACAUCGGAAUCUACUUUUUCGAGGGGGAUAACGUAGGGAAACUUACGCUAAUACCGCAUACGACCUACGGGUGAAAGCAGGGGAUCUUCGGACCUUGCGCGAUUGAAUGAGCCGAUGUCGGAUUAGCUAGUUGGCGGGGUAAAGGCCCACCAAGGCGACGAUCCGUAGCUGGUCUGAGAGGAUGAUCAGCCACACUGGAACUGAGACACGGUCCAGACUCCUACGGGAGGCAGCAGUGGGGAAUAUUGGACAAUGGGCGCAAGCCUGAUCCAGCCAUACCGCGUGGGUGAAGAAGGCCUUCGGGUUGUAAAGCCCUUUUGUUGGGAAAGAAAAGCAGCAGGUUAACACCCCGCUGUUCUGACGGUACCCAAAGAAUAAGCACCGGCUAACUUCGUG
rnacentral:rRNA from 1 species